rnacentral:rRNA from 1 species
GAUGAACGCUAGCGGCAGGCUUAACACAUGCAAGUCGAGGGGCAGCAUGAGACGGAGAUUCGUCGAAGUCCUGAUGGCGACCGGCGCAAGGGUGCGUAACGCGUGAGCAACUUGCCCGUUUCAGGGGGAUAACCGGUGGAAACGCCGACUAAUACCCCAUGGUAUGUUUUUAAGGCAUCUUUUAAACAUUAAAGAACUUCGGAAACGGAUAGGCUCGCGUGACAUUAGCUAGAUGGCGGGGUAACGGCCCACCAUGGCGACGAUGUCUAGGGGUUCUGAGAGGAAGGUCCCCCACACUGGAACUGAGACACGGUCCAGACUCCUACGGGAGGCAGCAGUGAGGAAUAUUGGUCAAUGGUCGAGAGCCUGAACCAGCCAAGUAGCGUGAAGGAAGACUGCCCUAUGGGUUGUAAACUUCUUUUGUUCGGGAAUAAAGUGCAGUAUGUAUACUGUUUUGUAUGUACCGUUCGAAUAAGCAUCGGCUAAUUCCGUG